ACUAAAAAGGAGGGAUUAGAAAUGAUCGAUAGUCCACCAGAGAAUUUAAUUGGAUUGGUUUAAACAGCCAGUUUUACUACACAUAACUAAGUUAGGAGAUUAAUUUCUAAAGGCGGAAGUUAAUCUCUUUUUUU
rnacentral:sRNA from 1 species